UCUAGUGGGCACCUUUCGAUGACAGCACAGUGGUUGUUAUGGAAAAGCAUUUCCCCGGAGGAUCGGGGACAGAACAGCUGAUCGGGUUCAGUCGGGCUGAGAACACGGAUACGAGUUUGUGCUGCUGUCAAACUGAAUGAACUUCACAGGUAGCCUGGCGGGUAAGAGCGUUGGGCUACUAAACGAAAGGUUGCUGAAUCGAAUCCCCAAGCUGACAAGGUGUCAGGGGAGGGAGUAGAAUGUUCUGUAUUCUAAGAAGCACAAUGGAUUCUUGAGACGCUUUGAUGCCUGACUCUUCCUGGUUCCCGAAGCACCACCUGCAGUGGCCUAUUACAGGACUAGAAGUGAUCCAAUCCCCAUGCAUCCCCCACCUCUGACCAACCCCUGCCCUUACAUUCUCUCAUACUACUGCACUCUAAAAACAAGCUCUAUGCAGUAUUAGUCCAAAUCUCUGUUUAUAUUUUAUUAUCACAUUGAACAAUGUGACCUGGUUCCUCUUAGAUGCUGAGAUUGUACUCUAAGUAACCACUUCACUUCAAGGUUUGCACCACAGCUCUCAGUAUGGACUCCCACCCGGGGACUUGUGUGCUGGGUCCACUUCCCAGAGAGUGUAGGCCUAACCAUCAAUGGUUGCAUUGCUGGCACUGACAGGGGGCAGAGGCGAAGUAGUGUCACUGUUUCGGUCCCCCUCCCUCCAACCCAGAGGAAUACAGGAAGGAACACAGGAUUUAAGGACAGAGACGUGGUUCAGUAAUCUGGAUGGAUCUGUUCCAGCAGGAGAUGUUCCAUAAAGAUCUAGAGUAAGAACCAGUUGGUUCUCAGGUCUUGAAUUUCCAUACAUAGUCUUUAAAGCAUAUAGGCCCAUGGAAGAGAAAUUGAUUCUGUGUUACUCACACAAAGAAUACCGACUUGGACCUUUACACCUUGGAGAUGUCUGCCACCUGACCUUCCAACAGCAGUGUUCACUUUCAACUGAUAAAACCCAGAACCAGAUCAGAACAGUGAAACGGGAGGUGUAGGAAGUCUGAGGUGGGCGGUGGUGUGGCAUGGCGGAGCACGGCGAGCUGCUCGGUGAGAUGGCUACGGUUGGGCGUCUGAGUGCCACGGAGCGCCUGAAGCACGCCCAGAAGCGGCGCGCCCAGCAGCUGAAGGGCUGGGCCCAGAUGGACAAGGAUAUGGCCCGUGGCGGGGGCAAGGCCGGACAGAAAGUGGACAAGAACAAGGGGCGCACGCGCAGGGUGGUCUUCCCCAACAACAUCACCCUGCUGGAGGCUGCAGCCCGCAAUGACCUGGAGGAAGUCAGGGAGCUGCUGAACGGUGGAGUCAGUCCAGAUCUGUACAAUGAGGACGGACUCACUGCCCUGCACCAGUGCUGCAUUGAUGACUUUGUGGAGCUGGUACAGUGUCUGUUGGACGCCGGGGCCAGUGUGAACGCCUGUGACAGUGAGCUGUGGACGCCGCUCCACGCUGCUGCCACCUGUGGACACACAGCCCUGGUGCAGCUCCUGGUGCAGUCUGGUGCAGAGAUGCUGGCGGUCAACGCUGAUGGCAACAUGCCCUAUGACCUUUGUGAGGACGAGGCCACGCUGGAGCUGCUAGAGAUGGUCAUGGCAGAGCAGGGUAUAACCCAGGACCGUAUAAACCAGUGUCGUGGGGCUAAGGAGAUGGAGAUGCUGACGGACCUUCGAGCGCUGGUCCAGAGUGGUGCGGACCUGAACGCUCAGGAUGACAAUGGGGCCACACUGCUGCACUUAGCGGCGGCUAACGGCUACCUGUUGGUAGGGGAGCUGUUGUUGGAGCACCAGGCCAAAGUGGAGGAGAAGGACACAGACGGCUGGACACCACUCCAUGCCGCCUCCUGCUGGGGACAGGUCCAGCUGGUGGAGCUACUGGUGGCUCAUGGGGCCAGUCUCAACACCAAGUCCGUUCUGGAAGAGACCCCACUGGAUGUGUGUGCGGAUGAGGAGGUGAGAGCCAAGCUGAUGGAGCUGAAGCACAAACACGAUGCCAUCAUGAAGAGUCGGGACCGACACAAGGGCACCUUGCAGAAACGAGCCUCCAGCACUGGCAGCAGAGGUAAGGUGGUGCGGCGUGUGAGCAUCAAUGAGCGUUCCAGCCUGUACCGGCGGGAGCACCACAAGGAGGCCAUGGUGUGGCAGGAGAGAGGCCGGCAAGCCGAGCCGCAGGACGACGACGAGGACAGACAGACUGACUACGAGCUCCACCAGCAUGUUGCCAUGGCUGCAGGUGCCAUGUCGAGGGGGGAGGAUGACGAGGGAGGGGAGAGGAAGUUCAAUCUGGGGAACGGUGGGAUUCCCCUGGCCCUGUUGGCGUCAGUCCCAGGGGAGCAGUGGAGCGCAGGCCGGAUGGACCGCAGCGCCUCUUACCAGCUGAGCCCUGCCUCGGGGACCGGGGAGGCAGGGGACAGCAUGACCCGGGAGAAAUCCCACCAGACACUAGCAGACCUGAAACGCCAGCGGGCUGCAGCCAAGCUCAACAAGCACCCAGCCCCACCCGCUCCAGAGGAGAUGCCCCCUUCUCCCGCCCCUCUGCAGGAUGUGACCCCGUCCGGAGCCGCCCAGGAGACACACAGCACAGAGGUGGCCUCCCCCGGCACUGUGUACUUCACCCCAGCCAGCGGGGACCCGCCCCUGCUCAAACUACAAGCCCCAGAGGAGGACACCUCCAACAACACCAAGGAGCCCUGCUGUGGACUCAUGUAGGGACAAACACUUCCAAACACCAACUGCCUGACUGGAAAUUAAAGUGGGCGAUGUGUAACAAUCAAAAAUGAUUUCAAAACGCUACGGUGACGACCAGAUAUACUUUUAAAGAUUCAUUGCAGUUGGAUUUAUUCUAAGUUUAUUAUUUGGUUCCGUUAAGCGCCUACUUCCAUCAAUUACAUGCCAUUGAAUUUUUGGUCUACUCUCCAUUUUGGUCAAUGUGGUUAUACAUUCCAUCUUCUUGCAUCAAUUUAUUUUUAGCCGUCCUUCCUGAAAUGUCUAAAACAAGAUUUAUCUAAUGGAGGGAAUGUAAAACAUAUUCCAAUAUAUGAGCACUUAACGUUCCUCUGUUGAUAAGGGUGUGGCCAGAGCCAUAGAUUUACAUACAUGGAUAUUGCUCUGCAUAUCUAUGGACCUCGUAUAGAGAGAGACCUUAUGUGCCCACCUGGUGGCUUCUAAGAGAACUACAGAUUCCAGUAUUACUCCUUCAAUAGCACGGAGUACUUCUUUUUGUUUAAUCCCUUUUUUCCAUGUUUGUUUAAGGCAAUUCAAUCAAAAGAGAGCGUUUUCUCAUAUCAAGCAUAUUAUAUAUGAACUGGCCAUCUGACUUAAGUGAAUAAGAUUUGCUCAUUUAAAGCAGAAAGGGGCUAGAGAAGCGUGAAUGAACCAAAGCUGAUUAUUUUACUUUAUUUUUUUCAAGCUGAAAAUCGGACCAAUGAAUGAUAAUUUUCUACUCAUGAUUGACUGAGCAUGAUUUGAGAUAUGCACAGUAAAUGGAUUUAAGAGAAGGAGAGAUUAGGAUCGAGAGUGAUUGUUACAAAAGGGUACAUAAUAAUGGCAUUUGUUGGUGUUAUUUGUUUUCUAUACACACUCACACCAGUCUGUCUGUUGACAGGGUACAGAAGUGGGAGUGUUUGUAGAUUAUGGUUUCUCUUUGUUGUUGCUUUGAAUUUGCAUCAAAUUUACACACGUGUAGACAAGUGCUAUUUCCCUGCCUUUCUACUGAUCAGCACUGUUCUCAAAAUUGUUUUUUUUUGUUCGUAAAUCAACAUACUGUUCCAGUGCACUAAGAACCUACAUUUUCUACGGUGCAAUUUGUAAACAAGGGUUUUGUUUUCUAAAUGAUUGUAAGAGAUGAUCUAAUAUUCAAAUUAAUAUAAAUUGUGUUUUUGUCAUGGUGUUUGUCCCACCUCAGGAUAAAAUGACUUCUUAUAGGCAUUUCUAUUUAAACUAUUUCUAUGCUGUGAAUAGGGAUGUACACAGUGUACAAAACAUUAGGAACACAUGCUCUUUCCAUGACUUGGACUGACCGGGUGAAUCCAGGUAAAGUCUAUGAUCCAUUAUUAAUGUCACUUGUUAAAUCCACUUCAGUCAGUGUAUAUGAAGGGGAGGAGACAGGUAAAAGAAGGAUUGUUAAGCCUUGAGACAUGGCUUGUGUAUAUGUGCUAUUCAGAGGGUGAAUGGGCAAGACGAUAUUUAAGUGCCUUUGAACGGGGUAUGGUAGUAAGUGCCAGACGGACCGGUUAGUGUGUCAAGAACUGCAACGCUGCUGGGUUUCACGUUCAACAGUUUCCCUUGUGUAUAAAGAAUGGUCCACCACCCAAAGGACACAAUCGUGGACCGCAUUGGCGUCAACUUGGGCAAGCAUCUGUGUGGAACACUUUUGACACCCUGUAGAGUCCAUGCCCUGACAAAUUGAGGCUGUUCUGAGGGCAAAAGGGGGUGCAACUCAAUAUUAAAGGUGUUCCUAAUGUCUUGUACACUCUGUGGAUAUUAAUGACAUUUCAUUUUUGUGUCAACACAAUUUGGCAACCCAUCCAUUACAGGAUUAUUUCACACACAAACUACAAUGAUUCACAGUGAUAGUUAUUCCGGUGUUCCGUACAGUGUGCACCUCAAAAGGAAUGAAAAUCAAAACAUAAAUAGUAGAUAUGGUUAUCCAAUCAAUAAUAACCCUAGGGCAGUGAAAAAUGAAAUACUGAAAAAUGUCUUAUAUUUUUGUGUAUGGAGUAGAUUGACCUGAACCAUUCCUGCCUAGAAAGCAGUAUCUUCUACAUUCCUGCCUAGAAAGCAGUAUCUUCUACAUUCCUGCCUAGAAAGCAGUAUCUUCUACAUUCCUGCCUAGAAACCAGUAUCUUCUACAUUGCUGCCUAGAAAGCAGUAUCUUCUACAUUGCUGCCUAGAAAGCAGUAUCUUCUACAUUCCUGCCUAGAAAGCAGUAUCUUCUACAUUCCUGCCUAGAAAGCAGUAUCUUCUACAUUGCUGCCUAGAAAGCAGUAUCUUUUACAUUCCUGCCUAGAAAGCAGUAUCUUCUACAUUCCUGCCUAGAAAGCAGUAUCUUCUACAUUCCUGCCUAGAAAGCAGUAUCUUCUACAUUGCUGCCUAGAAAGCAGUAUCUUCUACAUUGCUGCCUAGAAAGCAGUAUCUUCUACAUUGCUGCCUUAAUUAAAUGAAGGGGGCAUCAGAACAACUGACAGACCAUCUUGGUUAGCCUUGUCAAUGUGAUGGUUUGUCAACAGUAAGUGCCUACUGUAGGGUUGAUUGGCUAAGUGUAAAUAGUUUGCAUUGCUUGCACAAAGUUCCACAUAGACCAUGUGGGAUUCUGAUUGAUGUGAAGUAUGGGACUAAAUGCCUUUGACUCUCUCCUAAAUGUACUAUUGAAAUGUCUCCUUCCAUAAUGGAACUCAGUCCUCAAUUACACAUUUACAUUUGUUUGUUUUAAUGUAGAACAUCAUUUGUAUGGUUGUUGCCUGUUUAAAAAGUCAUGUUUUCACAGAGGGUGGUGCGACAUGGGCUUAGGAGUACAUGUGUGGACAUGUCAUUUAUUUGUAUAUAUUGGGAGUAAGAUGGACAGUCGUGCUUGCUCUCCUAAUAGAUACACUAUAUAUACAUAGGUAUGUGAACACCUCUUCAAAUUAGAACAUUCAACUAGUUCAGCCACACCUGUUGCUGACAGGUGUAUGAAGUUGAGUACACAGCCAUGCAAUCUCCAUGGACAAACAUUGGUAGUAGACUGGCCUUACUGAGCUCAGUGACUUUCAACGUGGCACCAUCAUAGGAUGCCAUCUUUCCAACUAGUCAGUUUGUGAAAUUUCUGCCCUGCUAGAGCUGCCCCGGUCAACUGUAAGUGCUGUUAUUGUGAAGUGGAAACGUAAUUUAGAAACAACGGCUCAGCCACGAAGUGGGAGGCCACACAAGCUCACAGAAUUGUACCGCUGAAGUGCGUAGUGCAAACAAAUCGUCUGUCCUUGGUUGCAAUACUCACUACUGAGUUCCAACCUGCCUCUGGAAGCCUUGUCAGCACAAGAACUGUUCAUCAGGUUCUUCAUGAAAUGGGUUUCCAUGGCUGAGCAGCUGCACGAUCACCAUGUGCAAUGCUAAGCACCGGCUGGAGUGGUGUAAAGCUCACUGGCAUUGGACUCUGGAGUAGUGGUGAGGAAUGAAUAGGAAUGAUGGUCUGGGGCUGUUUUUCAUGGUUCGGGGUAGGUCCCUUAGUUCUAGUGAAGGGAACUCUUAAAGCUAUAGCAUGCAAUGACAUUCUAGACGAUUCUGGGCUUCCAACAGUUUGGGAAAGGCCCUUUCCCAUUUCAGCAUGACAAUGCCGGCGUGCACAAAGCGAGGCCCAUACAGAAAUGGUUUGUCAAGAUCGUUGUGGAAGAACUUGUCUGGCCUGCACAGAGCCCUGACCUCAACCCCAUCGAACACCUUUGGGAUGGAUUGGAACGCCGACUGCGAGCCAGGCCAAAUUGCCCAACCUCACAAAGGCUCUUGUGGCUGAAUGAAAGCAAAUCCCCGCAGUAAUGUUCCAACAUCUAGUGGGAAGCCUUUCCAGAAGAGUGGAGGCUGUUAGAGCAGCAAAGGGGGACCAACUCCAUAUUAAUGCCCAUGUUUUUGGAAUGAGAUGUUCGACGAGCAGGUGUCCACAUACUUCUGGUGCUGUAGUGUGUGUAUGUGUAGCGUCCUACAUCUGCUACAUAACUGUACUUCAAGCCAGCAGGGGGACACUGAGGGAAGAAAACCAUGCUGCUCAACAUUCACACCAGUUUCAUUCUCUCUAUUGUACAUGGAAGUACCUGCACUGAGUAUAUGAAUGGUUGAAAUAUUGAAGGUUCCUGGAGUUCAUUGUCUUUCCUGUCCAGCUAAUGAAGAUGAACCAUAAAAGGGUGGGAUGUUUGUGGGAAGGACUCAGACUGAUCAAGGACCUACAGUAGCUUACCUGUCAAUGUAUUUCUGAUACCUUAAUUUUGAUCACCUUAAAACAAAUCUAGAGCCUUUGUAUAUAUUUUACAAUAAAUAUAUUAUGUCAAACUUGA